rnacentral:rRNA from 1 species
AGUCAGUAAAGGUAGACCCGAAACCGGGUGAUCUACCCAUGUCCAGGUUGAAGUUUCCGUAAAAGGAAAUGGAGGACCGAACGCACAUCCGUUGAAAAGGGUGGCGAUGAGGUGUGGGUAGGGGAGAAAUUCCAAUCGAACCCGGAGAUAGCUGGUUCUCCUCGAAAUAGCUUUAGGGCUAGCCUCGUAUUAGUCUGCCGGAGGUAGAGCACUGAAUUUCCUAGGGGGCGUCAAAGCUUACCAAAGAAUAUCAAACUCCGAAUGCCGGCCAGAUGAUGUACGGGAGUCAGACUGCACGAGAUAAGUUGGGUAGUCAAAAGGGAAAGAGCCCAGACCACCAGCUAAGGUCCCAAAGUGCGUGUUAAGUGGAAAAGGAUGUGGGAUUUCACAGACAACUAGGAUGUUGGCUUAGAAGCAGCCACACAUUCAAAGAGUGCGUAAUAGCUCACUAGUCGAGAGGUCCUGCGCCGAAAAUGUCCGGGGCUAAAACACGACACCGAAGCUGUGGAAUGUAUCGUAUGAUACAUUGGUAGAGGAGCAUUCUUAACGCACAGAAGCAUUACCGUAAGGAGAUGUGGAGUGUUAAGAAGAGAGAAUGCCGGAAUGAGUAGCGAGAUGGAGGUGAGAAUCCUCCAGGCCGAAUAUCUAAGGUUUCCAGAGUAAAGCUGAUCUGCUCUGGGUAAGUCGGGGCCUAAGGCGAGGUCGAAAGACGUAGUCGAUGGACAACAGGUUGAAAUUCCUGUACCGCAUAUUAUCAGAACUGUGGGGACACAGAACCGAAGAAGAACCCGGGAAUGAAAAGACCGGGGCAAGCACUGGACUGGCUGGAAUGGCAAAUCCACCCAGCAACAGGAAGGUGUGACGCGUACCGAACAUAAGUAGGGAAGUCUUCGUAGGGGCUGUCAAGAAAAGCCGCUAUUGUGUAAUAUGUGCCCGUACCGUAAACCGACACAGGUGGAUGAGGAGAGAAUCCUAAGGCCGGCGGGAGAAGCAUUGUUAAGGAACUCGGCAAAAUGACCCCGUAACUUCGGGAUAAGGGGUGCCUGGGAAACCAGGCCGCAGAGAAUAGGCUCAAGCAACUGUUUAGCAAAAACACAGGUCUAUGCAAAACCGAAAGGUGAGGUAUAUGGGCUGACGCCUGCCCGGUGCUGGAAGGUUACGAGGAGGGGUUAGCGGCAACGCGAAGCUCUGAAUUUAAGCCCCAGUAAACGGCGGCCGUAACUAUAACGGUCCUAAGGUAGCGAAAUUCCUUGUCGGGUAAGUUCCGACCCGCACGAAAGGCGUAAUGAUUUGAGCGCUGUCUCAACAAUGCACCCGGUGAAAUUGAAAUACCAGUGAAGAUGCUGGUUACCUGCGCCAGGACGGAAAGACCCCAUGGAGCUUUACUCCAGCUUGAUACUGGGAUUCGGUACUGCAUGUACAGGAUAGGUGGGAGGC